rnacentral:rRNA from 1 species
GACGAACGCUGGCGGCGUGCCUAACACAUGCAAGUCGAGCGGAAAGGCCUCCUUCGGGAGGUACUCGAGCGGCGAACGGGUGAGUAACACGUGGGCAACCAACCCUUCACAUCGGGAUACCCCGGGGAAACUCGGAUCAAUACCGGAUAAUGCGCGACGCUGUUGGGCGUCGCACCAAAGGUAGCUUCGGCCUCUGGUGAAGGACGGGCCCGCGGCCCAUUAGCUUGUUGGUGGGGUAAUGGCCUACCAAGGCAACGAUGGGUAGCUGGUCUGAGAGGAUGAUCAGCCACACUGGGACUGAGAUACGGCCCA